rnacentral:rRNA from 1 species
CGAACGGGUGAGUAACGCGUGGGGAAUCUGCCUUUGAGCGGGGGACAACAUUUGGAAACGAAUGCUAAUACCGCAUAAAAACUUUAAACACAAGUUUUAAGUUUGAAAGAUGCAAUUGCAUCACUCAAAGAUGAUCCCGCGUUGUAUUAGCUAGUUGGUGAGGUAAAGGCUCACCAAGGCGAUGAUACAUAGCCGACCUGAGAGGGUGAUCGGCCACAUUGGGACUGAGACACGGCCCAAACUCCUACGGGAGGCAGCAG